AACGAACGCUGGCGGCGUGCCUAACACAUGCAAGUCGAGCGCGAACGACCCCUUCGGGGGACUAGUAGAGCGGCGGACGGGUGAGUAAUACAUGGAUAAUCUCCCUUCGAGCCCGGGAUAACAGCGCGAAAGUGCUGCUAAUACCGGAUAAGACCACGAGGCCCAGGCCUUGCGGGAAAAGGUGGCUUUGUUUUCGGAUGAGGCUAUCACUUGAUGAUGAGUCCAUGGCCUAUCAGCUUGUUGGCGAGGUAACGGCUCACCAAGGCAAUGACGGGUAGCUGGUCUGAGAGGACGACCAGCCACACUGGGACUGAGACACGGCCCAGACUCCUACGGGAGGCAGCAGUGGGGAAUAUUGGGCAAUGGGCGAAAGCCUGACCCAGCGACGCCGUGUGGGUGA
rnacentral:rRNA from 1 species